rnacentral:rRNA from 1 species
GACGAACGCUGGCGGCGUGCCUAAUACAUGCAAGUUGAACGCUUCUUUCUUAUCGAACUUCGGUUCACCAAGAAAGAGGAGUAGCGAACGGGUGAGUAACACGUGGGUAACCUGCCCAUCAGCGGGGGAUAACACUUGGAAACAGGUGCUAAUACCGCAUAAUGCUUUUUCUCACAUGAGAGAAAGCUGAAAGGCGCUUUUGCGUCACUGAUGGAUGGACCCGCGGUGCAUUAGCUAGUUGGUAGGGUAACGGCCUACCAAGGCAACGAUGCAUAGCCGACCUGAGAGGGUGAUCGGCCACACUGGGACUGAGACACGGCCCAGACUCCUACGGGAGGCAGCAGUAGGGAAUCUUCGGCAAUGGACGAAAGUCUGACCGAGCAACGCCGCGCGAGUGAAGAAGGUUUUCGGAUCGUAAAAACUCUGUUGU